GAGACUGCCGGAUAUAAACCGGAGGAAGGUGGGGAUGACGUCAAGUCAUCAUGGCCCUUAAGAGUAGGGCUAGACACGUGCUACAAUGGCAGAUACAAAGAGAAGCGACCUCGCGAGAGAAAGCGGAACUCAUAAAGUCUGUCGUAGUCCGGAUUGGAGUCUGCAACUCGACGCCAUGAAGUCGGAAUCGCUAGUAAUCGUAGAUCAGAUUGCUACGGUGAAUACGUUCCCGGGCCUUGUACAC
rnacentral:rRNA from 1 species